GAGAUCGCUGGAAGACAUGGAAAUCAGGUGACUGCUUCACACGCAGGAUGUCCCCAGUUCGAGUCUGGGCGUGCUCACCA
rnacentral:tRNA from 1 species